UCCAGAUCAUGAUCAAUCUUAGAUAAUUACAGUAUUAUCAUCGUGCUCUGUUUUCAAACUUCUUUGGAACUGAUGCGGUUGCAGUUAAACGACACAGCUGCAAAACCCUAAUCUCAGUAUCUGUGGUUGUUGGUAGCUUCUUUUGGAACUUUUGUAGAGUUUGUGUUGAGGAAUAAAGAGAUGAACAGAGGAAGAAGGAACCUGAAACAUCCAUCAGGUCGUCUCUCUCAGAGGCUCCAAUCAAGUUGAGAUAAAUGAUGCAAAAGGAGAGGUCAUUAGCAUUGUUUCCAGUCAAGUCUCCUGAAUGGCCAGAAAUCUUCAGAGAUGCAAAGCCAAUUCCAGCUGAUGAAAGCUCUCAUAUACCAAUCGGUGAGGGUGAGGCAGUUUUGAGUGAUGAUGGUUGAAUGACGAUGGUAUGCCUCCAUUGGAAGCAAACACAAACAGAGUGAGACCGUUUUGUGUGCAAUGUGAUGAUGUAGUCACAGAUUCUGGAUCAGAUUCUGAUUCAUAGAAACAUCCGGUACAUUCUUUUUCAUUCACAAGAGAGGGAGGGAAACCUAUAGUAUGUAACCAACAGUUUUGCUCGAGAAUGGAGUUAGAAGAGUAAAAGAUUACUCCUUAGCUGCUGCCAUGACUUCUCUUAAUUCAGAGAUCAAGCAACCACCGACUUUGUACCCUCCAAUCAAAAAUAACCGUUGUUCAGGACCAGACGCCAUUGCAAUUUUAACUGCCAAAAGCUUCAUGUCAUACAGAGGAAACAAACCACAAGAUCGAUGAAAAAGAGACUCACCACUUGCUAACUACUCUCUAAUCAACUCACACCAAGCUCUAAUCUGCCACAUUUAAGUCCUAAACAUAGAUAUAUAGUAGACUUAUAGCGGCUAAACAUCUUGGAAGCUUAUCGUAGUCCUAUUAUUCCUUCCCAUUCACCAACUAUCUAACCAACUCAUAACAGCUCUGAUCUGCUACAUUCAGUCCUAGGCUAGUCAUAGUAGACCUACAGAUCCGGGUUCGGGUCGGGUCGGUUGGAGGACCGUUUUUUACUUACCGGGUCUUCUUGAAUGAAGAAACAAGCCAACACGAAGGACCCACAGAGUGUAAAGUUCAAAAACUGCAUGCCCACUGCUACUCUGGUCGGCCAGAUGACAGAUUGGCAGGGGUAAAUUCGUCACUUUAAAGCUUCUUCUUGUGGCUGUUUAAACUCAGACAAUGGUGGUCCUGCUCCGAGAGAAGAAGGAGGACUUGCGUAAUCUUUUUAUAUCUGAAUUGAGAUCAAUGUUAUAUGAAUCGCACACCCACUUAUAUCUUUUUGGUUCACUGAGAUCAUGAAACUAAGUAUGCUGCUUUGCUUAUUUUCCUAAGUAUAUGUGACGAUCAAGGAUGUUAUAAAUAACAAUAACAUGUGAAUCUUUAUGUGAAUCUUUACACAACCAUGUUGUUGAUAU